GUAUCCGUAUUUGGCAGAGUAGGUGAACGAACUCGUGAAGGAAAUGAUCUUUACAUGGAAAUGAAAGAAUCUGGAGUAAUUAAUGAACAAAAUCUUGCGGAAUCAAAAGUGGCUUUAGUCUACGGUCAGAUGAAUGAACCGCCAGGAGCUCGUAUGAGAGUUGGAUUGACUGCCCUAACUAUGGCGGAAUAUUUCUGAGAUGUUAAUGAACAAGACGUACUUCUAUUUAUAGACAAUAUCUUUCGUUUUGUCCGGAUCCGAAGUAUCUGCCUUAUUGGGUAGAAUGCCUUCCGCUGUGGGUUAUCAACCCACCCUUAGUACCGAAAUGGGUACUUUACAAGAAAGAAUUACUUCUACCAAUGAGGGAUCCAUAACUUCUAUUCAAGCAGUUUAUGUACCUACGGAUGAUUUGACCGACCCUGCCCCUGCCACAACAUUUGCGCAUUUAGAUGCUACUACCGUACUAUCAAGAGGAUUAGCUGCCAAAGGUAUUUAUCCAGCGGUAGAUCCUUUAGACUCAACGUCCACUAUGCUCCAACCUCGAAUCGUUGGUGAGGAACAUUAUGAAACUGCGCAAAGGGUUAACCAAACCUUACAGCGUUACAAAGAACUUCAGGACAUUAUAGCUAUCCUUGGGUUGGACGAAUUGUCCGAAGAGGAUCGCUUAACCGUAGCAAGAGCGCGAAAAAUUGAGUGUUUCUUAUCACAACCCUUUUUCGUAGCGGAAGUAUUUACCGGUUCCCCGGGGAAAUAUGUUGGUCUAGCAGAAACAAUUAGAGGAUUUAAAUUGAUCCUUUCCGGAGAAUUAGACGGUCUUCCUGAACAGGCCUUUUAUUUGGUAGGUAACAUCGACGAAGCUACUGCGAAGGCUACGAACUUAGAAAUGGAGAGCAAAUUGAAGAAAUGACCUUAAAUCUUUGCGUACUUACCCCUAAUCGAAUUGUUUGGGAUUCAGAAGUGAAAGAAAUCAUUUUAUCUACUAAUAGCGGACAAAUUGGCGUAUUACCAAAUCACGCGCCUAUUGCCACAGCUGUAGAUAUAGGUAUUUUGAGAAUACGCCUUAACGACCAAUGGUUAACGAUGGCUCUGAUGGGUGGUUUUGCUAGAAUAGGCAACAAUGAAAUCACUAUUUUAGUAAAUGAUGCGGAGAAGGGUAGUGACAUUGAUCCACAAGAAGCUCAGCAAGCUCUUGAAAUAGCGGAAGCUAACUUGAGGAAAGCUGAAGGCAAGAGGCAAACAAUUGAGGCAAAUCUAGCUCUCAGACGGGCUAGGACACGAGUCGAGGCUAUCAACGCGAUUUCGUAACGAGUUGGUUAAUCGAAAAAAUUUCCGUAGAAACAGAACUUUCGUUUAUACAUCCCAUUUUGAUUCUGCCGAUUAAAUAGAAUCAAAUACAAUCAAAAGUGAAAUCAGAUUUUGAUCUAAUGAAAAAUUUGAAAAUUGAAAACGGAAAUAGAAUAGGAUGAAAAAGAUAGAAAAUCAAUAAAAGAAGGUGGGUAGAAAAACUUAUUAGACACCGGGAUCGAUGGUAUCUAAUAAGUUCUACCUACUAUUGGAUUUGAACCAAUGACUCCCGCCGUAUGAAAGCAAUACUCUAACCGCUGAGUUAAGUAGGUUAUUUAUUAUCAUAAGGAAUCAUAAAGAGAAAGAAAAGGGACCUAUUACAUCGAUGGAUUACAAAUCCAACUUCUAAGCAAUACCAAUCAAACAGACCAAAAGGGUAUGAUUAUGAUGUUGGAUCAUGUAAUAGUCAUCUUGACAAGAAAUUAUCUACAUAAUAUGAUAAAAUAUGUAUCACAAACACAAGGGCUAUAGCUAAAUCUAUUACUUUCUUCGUUAUUUGUAACAGUUCUUUACUUGGAGGGUUGGAAUAUUUCCAUUCCGUACGUAUUCGUCCCUGAGCUAUUUGAAAUAAAUAAAAUAAAUGGAAUCAUUGGAAUGACAAUUGGUAUCUUUAUUACAUUAAGGGGAUCCUAUCAACUUGUUCCGACCUAGGAUAAUAAGCUCAUGGGCUUGGUCUUACUUCACCAUCGAGAAACGAAAGAAGGCUUCAUUAAUAGGCUCACGCUUCGACUUUGAUCGUUAUGGGCUGGUACCAAGAUCGAGUCCUAGACAGGCAGACCUAAUUUUAACAGCUGGAACAGUAACAAUGAAAAUGGCGCCCUCUUUAGUGAGAUUAUAUGAACAAAUGCCCGAACCUAAAUAUGUUAUUGCUAUGGGCGCGUGUACAAUUACAGGAGGGAUGUUCAGUACUGAUUCUUAUUGUACUAUUCGGGGGGUCGAUAAGCUAAUUCCCGUGGAUGUCUAUUUGCCGGGCUGUCCCCCUAAACCCGAGGCAGUUAUAGAUGCUAUAACAAAACUUUGUAAGAAAAUAUCUUGCGAAAUCUAUGAAGAUCAAAUUAGAUCUCAACAGGGGGAUCGGUGUUUUACUACCAAUCACAAGUUUUGUCUUGUACGUAGUGUACUGGAAAUUAUAAUCAAGGAUUGCUCUAUCAACCACCAUCAACUUUAGAGAUUCCUCCUGAAACAUUUUUCAACUACAAGGGUUCACUAUCUUCCCACAAAUUAGUGAAUUAGGUAGGAUUUUUUUUUACAGAAACAGACAAUGAAUUAAUCUUCAUAAAUUCGAUUUCAUCAUAAAUGCGAAAUAUUUAUCUUAGAAAAAUGACAAAUAAAAAAGAAAAGUGCGGGAGAGAUAAAAAGAUGCAGGGUCGUUUGUCUGUUUGGCUAGUCAAACACGGGCUAGUUCAUAGAUCUUUGGGCUUCGAUUACCAAGGAAUAGAGACUUUACAAAUAAAGCCUGAGGAUUGGCAUUCCAUUGCUGUUAUUUUAUAUGUAUAUGGUUACAAUUAUCUACGUUCCCAAUGUGCCUAUGAUGUAGCACUAGGCGGACUGUUAGCCAGUGUGUAUCAUCUUACGAGAAUAGAGUAUGGUGUAGAUCAACCGGAAGAGGUAUGUAUAAAAGUAUUUGCUCCAAGGAGUAACCCUAGAAUUCCGUCUGUUUUCUGGGUUUGGAAAAGUUCAGAUUUUCAAGAACGAGAAUCUUAUGACAUGUUGGGAAUCUCUUAUGAAAAUCAUCCACGGCUGAAACGUAUCUUAAUGCCCGAAAGUUGGAUAGGGUGGCCUUUACGUAAGGAUUACAUUGCCCCCAAUUUUUAUGAAAUACAAGACGCUCAUUGAAUGAUAAGAAACUAAUUACAACUUCGAAUAUUCAAGGAAUAUUUGUACAUUUUCUUCUAGCUCAAACAGAGGAAUUGAGGUUUCAUUCGUAUUCUUAUGGAUAGGCUAAUAAAUAAAAAGAAAUAAAAGACAAUACAUCAUUGAGAUUCUCGAUUUUUGAAGAGACUUUUUUAUUUAUUUUAUUUCGGACGAGCCGAGACAAUAGGAUGAACAACAAGGGUUCUAUACCGUGAACUUUGUAUCGCGCACAUCACUUAGAUGAACUCUAGAGAGUCGCAUAGAAGGGAAUGAAGAAAUGGAAUAUGAAAGAGAAUACAAAGAAAUAAAUGAAAGGGGAUCGGCUUCUAUUUGUACUGUAGUUGAGAUGAGUCUUGGUUAUUUCUAUCCUUGAACUCCUCUAGACCCGUCUUUUUGUUGGGCCUUUCAACCAACUAUUUUAAUCUUUUAAUUAAAUAUGUAUGAAGUAUUACCAUUCUUUUUGAAUGUGAGAAGCUGCAGUGCGAACAAAUAAAAAAGAAGAGGAAAGAUAAGCAAAUUUUGUCUUUUACUACAUUAUAAUAGACACAUUAGAAUAGACUCUUUGUUCAUUUUAAAAAGAGAAAAAAUACAAAAUAAAAUAAAUAAAGAGAGGGUUUACUCUCAGAUACCUAGCUAGAUAAGUAUGUAUUAUGUCGAUCCAUAUCAAUUAAUUUGUAGAGUAGAUACUCAUAAAAAUUAAUCAUAUGCCAGGAACUAGAUUUGAACUGGUGACACGAGGAUUUUCAGUCCUCUGCUCUACCAACUGAGCUAUCCCGACCAUUACCGAGGCAUUAUCCUCAUAAUACUAGAUGACUUGGGUCUAUGUCAAUUAAAAAUGAAAACAAAAAAAACGAAAAAGUAUUAAAUUAAAAGUCUCGAACAGGAAUUUCUUGGAUCUUCAAAAGGAAGACUUUGUAAAUUUCCAUAUGAGUAAUCAUAUGUAUUAUGAAUCAUUCAAAUCAAAUAGGUAUUCCUUGCUCAAGAGAUUUCUACGUAUAUCAUAUAUAUAUCACAAUAUAUCACACUAUAUCACAAGACUUGUGAUAAGAGAACAAAAUUCUGCUAUGCUAGGAUACGCUUGUAAAACGGCAAAGAAUAGGAUGAAUGAGAAACAUAAGGAACUUUGAACCACUAACAAAAAGGGUAGGAUAAAAUAAAUAGACAGCAAACGGGCUUUUUGGGGUUGGGGAUAGAGGGACUUGAACCCUCACGAUUUUUAAAGUCGACGGAUUUUCCUCUUACUAUAAAUUUCAUUGUUGUCGGUAUUGAUAUUGACAUGUAGAACGGGACUCUAUCUUUAUUCUCGUCCGAUUAAUCAGUUUUUCAAAAGAUUUAUCAGACUAUGGAGUGAAUGAUUUGAUUAAUGACUAUUCUAUUCGAUUCUUUCUUCAACUUGGAAUCAAUUCACAACAAUUCUUUUUAUUUUUCAUAUUUUCAUAUAAAUAUAAAUUGAUUUUGCAUAUAAUAGAAAUAAAAAAAAUACGGGUUCGGUUUGUCUUUUUUGAGAUAGUUUUUCAUUAGUAUACCUAUAAAAAAAUAGGUAUAUCUUGCAUCCUUUCUAGAGUUUCGAUAUUCGAUAUAAGGAUUCCUUUACCAACAGUCAACCCCAUUUGUUAGAAUAGCUUCCAUUGAGUCUCUGCACCUAUCCUUUCCUUUUUUUAUUAUUCUCGCUUGCUGAACCUUUGUUCAUGUUUAUUUUCGUAAUCCGUGUCAUGAUUUAUGAGCUAAUGGAAUGUUUCAUUUUUUUCGUAAUAGAAAAAAAUGGGUUGAAAUAUCUAUUGAUAUUCUACAAGAAGUAUUUUAUUGAAGGCUUAAGUUAUUACUCAACAAAUCAAAAUUGAAAUUAUGAACGGGCGAGAUCAAUUCAGAAGCACUUAUUUUUUAUUCUUCAGAAUAUAGCAGACAGAAUUCCAUUGGUAUAAUUUUGGACCUUCCAAUCUAUUUUUUCUCUAUCUAUUCUACAACCAUACGAAGAUAAAUAAUACUGAUUCGGUCCUAAAAUUUAUUUGUGACCCACGAGGAGCCGUAUGAGGUGAAAAUCUCAUGUACGGUUUUGGACUAGCGAUGUAAACAGUGAUGUUAUCAUCGACUAUAAUUAUCUAACAGUUCAAGUACAGUUGAUAUAGUUGAGGCGCAAUCAAAAUAUGGUUUUUGGGGAUGGAAUUUGUGGCGUCAACCAAUAGGGUUUAUCGUUUUUCUAAUUUCUUCUCUAGCAGAAUGUGAGAGAUUACCUUUUGAUUUACCAGAAGCGGAGGAAGAAUUAGUAGCAGGGUAUCAAACCGAAUAUUCAGGUAUCAAAUUUGGUUUAUUUUACGUUGCUUCCUAUCUAAAUCUAUUACUUUCUUCGUUAUUUGUAACAGUUCUUUACUUGGGGGGUUGGAAUAUUUCCAUUCCGUACGUAUUCGUCCCUGAGCUAUUUGAAAUAAAUAAAAUAAAUGGAAUCAUUGGAACGACAAUUGGUAUCUUUAUUACAUUAGCUAAAACUUAUUUGUUUUUGUUUAUUUCUAUCGCAACACGAUGGACUUUACCUAGGUUAAGAAUGGACCAAUUAUUAAAUCUCGGGUGGAAAUUUCUUUUACCCAUUUCUCUGGGUAAUCUAUUAUUAACAACUUCUUUCCAACUUCUUUCACUGUAAAGAAAAAAAGAAUAUGAGAUUCAUGACUUGGUUCAAACAAGAGAAAGAAACAAACAUCAAAUUAUUCAUAGAUAUUCACGAUAUGUUCCCUAUGGUAACUGGGUUCAUGAAUUAUGGCCACCAAACAGUCCGAGCAGCAAGGUACAUUGGUCAAGGUUUCAUGAUUACCUUACCCCACGCAAAUCGUUUACCCGUAACUAUUCAAUAUCCUUAUGAAAAAUUAAUCACAUCAGAGCGUUUCCGCGGACGAAUCCAUUUUGAAUUUGAUAAAUUCAUUGCUUGUGAAGUAUGUGUUCGUGUAUGCCCUAUAGAUCUACCCGUUGUUGAUUGGAACAAUCGGAAUAAAAAAAUGGAAUUGCACUAGGCAAUCAAAACACGAAAUUAGCAAAAAUUGGAAUAAAAAAAAGACACGAAAUUCUCAGAUAAAACCAUAGAAAUAGAAUAAGUGAAAAUUUGCAGACCGCCUCCUGUCUUAUUCAUUCCAUUGUUAUCCAUUUUUUUUUGUUUCAAUACAAUUACAAUAAAAAAACUUAUUGUAUCACAACAAAUUCAAAGAAAGAACCCAUUAUUUGAAUGAAGUGAAGUGCCAAACGAGGAUAAAUGGAUCUAUUUAUCUAUGAUUGAAUUAUAUUUGUUCGAUACACUGUUGUCAAUAUGAUUGUAAAUUUUGAAUAUAAAUGUUGAGAGUUGAGAAAAGAAUAAAGAAUAUAAAAAGGACUACAAAAAAUACAAUGAAAAAAAAGAAUUCAUUUUUUUUUAUUUUUUUAUUAAUUAUUAUUAAUAUUUUCUCUUUUUAUAUGUUAUAUGUUAUUUUAUCUGUUAUUUUAUCUUAUUUUAUGUUGUUUUGUAAAUGUUUAAAUGCAAUUACUUCAUUUAUUCACUUGAUCUUUUUUCUCUCUAUUUUUUAUCAAUAAAAUUGGCUCAAUAAAAUCGGGUUUUGUUGUUAUAGAACACGGUAUUCUAGAUUUUAUAGUAGCAAUAUUCUAUAGUAGCAAAGCAAUAAGAAAUACGAAUAAUAAAUUUUUUUAAAAUAAAAGUCUGAAUAGACCAAAAGAGGGGGGAGGAAAUAAUAAAGAAAAAUUUAUACAAAGCUAGAUAUGAAUCAUCCACACCCUCUUUUUUGGAUUUCAUUAAUUGAAUUUUGUUUGAUUAAGACUAAGUUCUGUAAAAACACCUGCCUUCUUUAAAAUAUCAUGAACAGUUGCUGUGGGUUGAGCUCCUUUUUCAAGGAAAUAGAGAAUGGCGGGAACAUUUAAAUAGGUUUGAUUAUUUAUCGGAUCAUAAAAACCCACUUUUUGAAGAUCUCUUCCCUCUCUUCAGGAUCGAACAUCAAUUGCAACGAUUCGAUAAACGGCUCAUUGGGAUAGAUGUAGUUAAAUAAUACCUCCCUAGAAACGUAUAAGAAGUUUUCUCCUCGUACGGCUCGAGAAAAAAAUUAUUAAUUAAAAGUUAUGUCUAUGUAUGGAAUUAGAAUGUAUGGAAUUAGAAUGUCAAAAAGAUCCAUAAACCAGCAAAUCAAUUAGACAUUUAACCCCGUCUUUUUUUUUCAAAAAAGAAGAAGAAAAAAGCAUUCGUACUCUCAUAACUCAAGUCAAAUAACUCGCAAAAUGCUCAAAAAAUAAUCCUUAGGCAUUCCUUUAUUGAGUGGUCUCUAACCCCUUUUUUGUUUGUCUCGCUUAGAAUCUAUUUCGAUUCUUCAUUUUAAUCUAGUUGUUGAGAAAAUGGAAAAGGGUAUUUCCUUGUUCUAGGAUCUUUUCUCUUUGCCUUGAAUCAUUGGGUUUAGACAUUCCUUCGGCGAUAUUUAAUCAUUUCCAAAAUGGCAGCAACAUGCCCUUUUUUCACUCUUUUUUUUUCUAUCAAAGAAUCAUAUGAAUGAUUAAUUCCCGCAUGAUACACUUUUGAUCGAAAAAGUUUUACCAAUUCCAACAACUUUUCUUUUUGAUUUGAAAAUAGUUGGAAUCGGAUCCUUUUGAUUUCUAUAUCACAAAUAGACUUACGAAGUUGUUCUAACUUAUUGAUUUCCAUUAACUAACCCUAGAUUCUUGCCCCUAAAAAAUGGAUGUUUCUCUUCGAGCUCCAUCCUGUACUAUUUACAUUACAACCCAACAAAAAGACGGAUUAUAAUAGAACAAAGGAUGUCGAGCAAAAAGCACCUUCAUUUCUACAUAACGGAAAGUGGUGGGUUUUGACAUCCACAGCUGAUCAUGUCCUUCAAGUCGCACGUUGCUUUCUACCACAUCGUUUCAAACGAAGUUUUACCAUAACAUUCCUCUAGUUUGGAGCAUUGAUUCAAUUAUCGAAUCAUGAAUAGUCAGUGGUUCAGUCGAUACAUAGUAAUCUAUCUAUACUUUCUAUAUGAAAUCAAUUUCCUUCUAUAUGCUAUAUGAAAUAAAUAAAUAAUUUAGGAAGAAAAAGCCUUAAUAAGAAUUCAAACUACCCCAUAUUGUAUGAUUGUCUGAAUGCAAUAUUUUUUUUAUUUUUUUAAACUUUUAUUAUACUUUUCUAUUCUAAUUAAACUUUUCUAUUCUAAUUAAAAAAAUAAAUAAAGAAUAUCAUUAAUAAUAAUAUUACAAAAAUACUAAUAAUAUCACGAAUAUUAUAAAUAACACAAAUAAACUAAUCUUUUUGAAUCUACCGUGCAUCUUCAAAUAACCCGAUAGAUCAAAUAACUCGGUAGAAUAGAUCCAACAAUCUCACAGUUGUUCGAGUGCCAAUCUUAAGAAAUCAUUAAAAAUCUUUUUUGAAUCUCUAUACGUGCAAUUCCCUCGACACCAGAAGAUAGUCUCAUAUUUUUUUGUACAUAAUUCUUGAUACAGUCUCUUAUUUUUUUUAUCUUCUUGUAGACCCUCGGAAUACUUUUUCGGUUGUGCAAACCAAAGAGAAUGAUGACUUUGGGUUCUACCAAGUCUGAAACCAAGUGGAUUUAUUUUUUGUCCCAUAAUCCUCCACUACUAUAUAUUAGGAUAUGUCAUAUUUGUGCUCUUAUUUAUCCCUUUUUUAGCCAUCCUAGCCAUCCGGUGUUUUUUGGUUUUGGGCGCAGCAUAUAUCUGUCAAGUGGUUCAAAUUCAAGAUCUUUCAAUGCAAUAGUUAUAUGACAAGUGGGUCUUUUUAUCAGAUAACUCCGUCCUCGAGCUCGAGGUUUUAGUCUUUUCAGAGUAGUUCCCUCAUUUACUGCGACUUGACUAAUGAUUAAACUCGCUUCAUUGAAACCCCUAUUAUGACGAGCAUUUGCUGCUGUAGAAUAAACCAAUUUUAAAAUGGGAUAACAUGCUCGAUAAGGCAUGAGUUCUAGUAUCGUAAGUGUUUCUUCGUAGGAACGUCCACGAAUCUGAUCAAUUAUACUUCGUGCUUUGUGAGCAGACAUACAUAUAUGUUGACCUAAAGCGUAUACUUCGUCUGAAGUUGUAUAUGGGUUCCUCCUGUGUUUCUUUAUCUUUAUCAUAAAGUUUACCUCUCACUAAUGAAUUCAUUAAUUAAUCUCUAUUUUUUUAUUAUAAUAAAUUAUAAUAAUAUUAACGAUGAGAUUUAUUAUCAUUUUUUGCGUGUCCGCGAAAAUUUAUAGUAGGUGCGAAUUCUCCCAAUUUAUGUCCUACCAUACGAUCCGUUAUAUAAAUGGGCAAAUGUUCUUUUCCAUUAUGGAUAGCGAUAGUAUGGCCGAUCAUUGUGGGUAUAAUGGUAGAUGCUCUGGACCAAGUUAUUAUUAUUUCUUUUUCCGCUUUUGUAUUAAGCCUUUCGAUUUUUUUUUAAUAAAUGAUUUGCUACAAAAGGAUUUUUUUUAGUGAACGCGCCAUUUUUUUUACUUUAAAAAUAUAUAUUUUUUGUUUUUGUAAAGACGAAGAAAGAAAUAAUCUCUCCUAUUUACUCUGUCGACGAAGAAUCAAAUUAUCACUAUAUUUAUUCCUUUUUCUACUUCUUCCAAGUGCAGGAUAACCCCAAGGGGUUGCGGGUUUUUUUCUACCAAUUGGAGCCCUCCCUUCACCACCCCCAUGGGGAUGGUCUACAGGGUUCAUAACUACUCCUCUUACUACAGGACGCUUACCUAGCCAACAUUUAGAUCCGGCUCUACCCAAACUUUUCUGGUUCACCCCAACAUUCCCCACCUGUCCGACUGUUGCUGAGCAGUUUUUGGAUAUCAACCGGACCUCCCCAGAAGGUAAUUUUAAUGUG
rnacentral:lncRNA from 1 species